UACCACCAGAAUCCUCUGGUUGGGUUGUUAAUGCUGGGUUAUUGAUGUUGGGUUAUUGAGAUAUAACUCAGUCAGUGGGUUAAUUCUCCCGCCAAAUCCUGAAAAUCAAAUUUAUCUGGCAAGCUCCUAAAUGAGGAUUGGGUGUAGCUACCAGAUAGUUCAGCAGUUGCUGACUGGGAUUUAUUUUCGACUGACAAAUGGGCAAGGCAUUGUGGCUGACCAAAAGGCUAACUAUUAUUACAAAUGAUCCAUUCAGGUUGGAAUCAAUAUGGCUGAAUAUCUCUGCCAGGCGACCAAAAGAACAAGAGACCCAAACCCAUCGUUCUGACUCUCGGGGACAAUCGCCUCUAAUCCCUGGUAUUCACCAUCAGGCUCUGGAGCAGAAGACAUUGUUUCAGCAUUUUUUAUUUUAUUUUUUUACAUCAUUUCCUAUUGAAAUUGAUACCUGGUAGGGGUUGGGGGAGUAGAGGGUAAAGUGUUUACUUUUCUUCAGCCCCAUUCCUCAGCUUUAACUGGUAGGGCUGCUGUGAUUUUCAAAUUAUGGACUGUGCUUCUAAAGUUUUUGUUUAUUUGUGUCUUCGUAAUUUGUUAUCUUUCGCAUGACUUAAUUUUGUAACUGAAAUGAAUAUCUGAAAAUAAAUAUUUUGUACUUUA